rnacentral:rRNA from 1 species
UAACGAAUAUUGGGCAAUGGGCGAAAGCCUGACCCAGCGACGCCGCGUGCGGGAGGAAGUCCCUCGGGAUGUAAACCGCUGUCAGGGUGAAGAAAGACCGCAAGGUUUGAUCUAACCCAGAGGAAGCAACGGCUAACUUCGUGCCAGCAGCCGCGGUAAUACGAAGGUUGCAAGCGUUGUUCGGAAUCACUGGGCUUAAAGCGUAUGUAGGCGGAUAAGUAAGCGUUUUGUGAAAUACCUCGGCUUAACCGAGGAAUUGCUUGGCGAACUGCUUAUCUUGAGGCAAAUAGGGGUACAUGGAACUCUUGGUGGAGCGGUGGAAUGCGUAGAUAUCAAGAGGAACGCCAGCGGCGAAAGCGGUGUACUGGAUUUGUCCUGACGCUCAGAUACGAAAGCGUGGGGAGCAAACG